CGCCAGACUCCUACGGGAGGCAGCAGUGGGGAAUAUUGCACAAUGGGGGAAACCCUGAUGCAGCGACGCCGCGUGAGCGAUGAAGUAUUUCGGUAUGUAAAGCUCUAUCAGCAGGGAAGAAGAUGACGGUACCUGACUAAGAAGCCCCGGCUAACUACGUGCCAGCAGCCGCGGUAAUACGUAGGGGGCAAGCGUUAUCCGGAUUUACUGGGUGUAAAGGGAGCGUAGACGGCGAUGCAAGCCAGAUGUGAAAGCCCGGGGCUCAACCCCGGGACUGCAUUUGGAACUGUGUGGCUGGAGUGUCGGAGAGGCAGGCGGAAUUCCUAGUGUAGCGGUGAAAUGCGUAGAUAUUAGGAGGAACACCAGUGGCGAAGGCGGCCUGCUGGACGAUGACUGACGUUGAGGCUCGAAAGCGUGGGGAGCAAACAGGAUGAGAUACCCUUGUAA
rnacentral:rRNA from 1 species